rnacentral:rRNA from 1 species
UACGGAGGGUGCGAGCGUUAAUCGGAAUUACUGGGCGUAAAGCGUGCGUAGGUGGUUCGUUAAGUCAGAUGUGAAAGCCCUGGGCUCAACCUGGGAACUGCAUUUGAAACUGGUGGACUAGAGUUUGGUAGAGGGGAGUGGAAUUUCAGGUGUAGCGGUGAAAUGCGUAGAUAUCUGAAGGAACACCAGUGGCGAAGGCGACUCCCUGGACUAAAACUGACGCUGAGGUACGAAAGCGUGGGUAGCAAACAGG